rnacentral:pre_miRNA from 1 species
GAUUUCAACUGAAAAAGUUAACAACAAAGUUGAAUAACUUUUAUUUUGGUCAUUUCUUCAUCCGACAAAGUGAUAGUAACAUUGUUCACAAAAUUGAUAUAUAUCUUAUCUGGUUUUAUAAACUAUAACACAUAUAUGUAAAAUUUGUGAACAAUGUUACUAAUAUUUUGUCAGAUGAAGAAAUAACAAAAAAAAGUUUUAGAUCUUGAUGAGUUAUACUAUUUUGUUGUUGAUGACUUUUUCAAUUGAAAUC